rnacentral:tRNA from 1 species
GGUUGUGGCUCAGUGGUAGAGCACUCACCUAGCAUGUGCAAGGCCCUGGGUUCGAUCCUCAACACCA